CCUACGGGAGACAGCAGUGAGGAAUAUUGGUCAAUGGGCGCGAGCCUGAACCAGCGAAGUAGCGUGAAGGAUGACUGCCCUACGGGUUGUAAACUUCUUUUAUAAAGGAAUAAAGUGAGGCACGUGUGCCAUUUUGUAUGUACUUUAUGAUUAAGGAUCGGCUAAAUACGUGCCAGCAGCCGCGGUAAUACGGAGGAUCCGAGCGUUAUCCGGAUUUAUUGGGUUUAAAGGGAGCGUAGAUGGGUUGUUAAGUCAGUUGUGAAAGUUUGCGGCUCAACCGUAAAAUUGCAAUGGAUACUGGCAGUCUUGAGUGCAGUUGAGGUAGGCGGAAUUCGUGGUGUAGCGGUGAAAUGCUUAGAUAUCACGAAGAACACCGAUUGCGAAGGCAGCUUACUAAACUGCCACUGACAUUGAGGCUCGAAAGUGUGGGUAUCAAACAGGAUUAGAUACCCCAGUAGUC
rnacentral:rRNA from 1 species